ACGGAUAUGAUGAAACUAGGUAAACGUAUCAGAUUUAGGAUCUGACGGGU
rnacentral:tRNA from 1 species